AUUGAACGCUGGCGGCAUGCCUUACACAUGCAAGUCGAACGGCAGCACGGGAGCUUGCUCCUGGUGGCGAGUGGCGAACGGGUGAGUAAUAUAUCGGAACGUACCCUAGAGUGGGGGAUAACGCAGCGAAAGUUGCGCUAAUACCGCAUACGAUCUACGGAUGAAAGUGGGGGAUCGCAAGACCUCAUGCUCAUGGAGCGGCCGAUAUCUGAUUAGCUAGUUGGUGGGGUAAAGGCCUACCAAGGCUUCGAUCAGUAGCUGGUCUGAGAGGACGACCAGCCACACUGGAACUGAGACACGGUCCAGACUCCUACGGGAGGCAGCAGUGGGGAAUUUUUGGACAAUGGGCGAAAGCCUGAUCCAGCAAUGCCGCGUGAGUGAAGAAGGCCU
rnacentral:rRNA from 1 species